rnacentral:lncRNA from 1 species
AACUGUGUUAAUGGCUAUUUUUGAUAAUUUUCAUUCCCAGUUAUAUGGACUCACUGGAGGUUUUCAUGAGAAAUCAUGUAAUGUUAAGAGAUGAGAUUUCAUGGAGCUCCAAGAUGAAGAUCACAUCCAUGCCAUGGCAUCAUAGUAAGCUGCGAUCACCCGGCGGCGUGCGCGUGAGCUCCCGGCCUGCGCGGGAGCUCCCGGCCUGCGCGACAACAGACCCAGGAAGGACCCAAGGACCCCAGAGGGGGUUUUUCUCAGCUGCCUGCCUACCUGCCUGUCUGCGAUCACCCGGCGGCGUGCGCGUGAGCUCCCGGCCUGCG